rnacentral:rRNA from 1 species
UACGUAGGGGGCUAGCGUUGUCCGGAAUCAUUGGGCGUAAAGAGCGUGUAGGCGGCUCGGUAAGUCCGCUGUAAAAGUCAAAGGCUCAACCUUUGAAUGUCAGUGGAUACUGCCGGGCUAGAGUCCGGAAGAGGCGAGUGGAACUCCUGGUGUAGCGGUGGAAUGCGCAGAUAUCAGGAAGAACACCAACGGCGAAGGCAGCUCGCUGGGACGGUACUGACACUGAGACGCGAAAGCGUGGGUAGCGAACAGG